UCUCUCUCUUGUUCUUUUUUUUUUUUCUUGGUCUCUGGUGUAAGCGGGCUCUCGAAAUGCCCUAGUUAUCUAACAUUGCUCUUGAACUCCACUUACAGAUGAUAUACUAGCCUUUUACUAAAAUAUAUCUGGGUAUUAAAAGCUCAAUUCUUUACUGCUGAUGAGAAAGAUUAUUAACACUUUUUUUUCCCAGCUAUAAUAUGAGGCAGUAACACCCCUUUUAACUUCCAGAGCCAGAGGCAGUAUGUCACAUUAACCUUCAUUAACUGCCCAAGAAAUGAGGUGCGUUCAUUAAUUUAGUAUUCUUUUUAGCUAAGAUUGUGUGAGAAGGCUGAUAAACGUCUGUGGUUUCUCCCUUUGCUAUUAAAAAUAAAUAAAUAAAAGAAUGGUAAAGUAUGUUAGCCUGCUUAUCUUAUCGUCCUGAUAAGUGCAACAUUCUGAUUAGGGGUCAGAUCUGGACAGGAUGAGUCUGCAGCUGGUGGGCAAGGAUGGGGGUCACUGGGGCAGGGCGGAGGAAACGCAGGCUGACCGAGAUCAGCCUGAGGAAGAGCAUCCGAGGCGUGUGGUGGGGGAAAUCAGGUAGCAUCUGAAAACCAAGCCAAAGGUGGAAAGAGAAAAUAAAUUCUAUUUCUAUAUAAGUAAUGGCAUGAUGGAAGCCAACCCACCUAAGCCACUCAGAUAUCCUGUGAAUUACUAAAUGCACUGUAGAGAUUUUUGGUAUAUGUGGCAUCAUCACUUCUGAUGUUCCCAUUUCUCUUUCCAUCACCUUCAUUUAUUCAUUACUUUAAAAAGGCAUAUCAAGCAUUUUGCUAGCUCCUGGGGGAAAAAAAGAUGAAUGACACAACUCCUAAGCUCAGGGACCUGCGUUCUUUCUUCAUCUGAGCUUUAAAAAAUGUAGAGUCAGCUUUACCAUCACCUCCUCUCUGUUUUCCAAGAAUACUGCAAUAAUGUUGUUUCUUCAUAACACCUCCAGAAUCCAUCUCAAUUUUCCUUUCACCACUACCAAGGUUUGGGCACCAUUCCCUUUUAGCCAGGCAAUUGCAGAAGCCUCUUGAUUAGUCUCCUUAUAUCCAAUCCCUUCCUCCCCCAUCAAUCUUAGAUUUGGUUACUGGACUUAUUAUCCUACAAUUUCGUUCUUGGUCCCAUUGUUUAUGAAGAGGGGGGUAAUGUCUUAGCUUUAUAUUGUGGCUCUCCUCAACCUAGUCCCACUUCUACAGCACUAACACCUGACUUGAACCACAGUGAUUCCUUCAUCCACCUUCAGACAUAUGUAUGUAUUUUCACAUAUCUGGUCUCCCUCCCACAAUUUUUUUCAUUUCCAAAGCAGGACAGCAUGGUGGUUAAGACCAUGCGCUUGGGGACCAGAUACGCUUUACUACUUACUUGCUGUGUAGUUUGGACAAUUUAUUUAAUCUCUCUUUUGUGCUUCUGUCUGUAUAUCACUGAAAAUAACUUAUUAAAAGUAUUUUCUCAUAAAAUUAAGUAGGUUAAUGUAUCUAAAAUGCUUAGAAUAGAUGCUGGCACGUAGUAAGUGCUAAUUUUUAACACUUACUAUUGUUGCUAUUGUUGCUAUUGUUGUUAAUACCUAAACCCCUCCCUACUCCCUGGCCAAAUAUUUUAUAGCUCACUGCAAAUCCCAGGGAACUCGGGGAACCUCCCCAGACAUUUAAGUAGAAGUGUUUGUUCCUUUUUCAGCCCUUCUGUGGCACCACUUAUCUGACCCACAUUUAGCAAGUGGAUUGAGACUUACUAAUUAUUUUCAUGGGAAAUAAAACCUGAAGAAAUGACUAGCAAUAGAAGAUAAUAAAUGGUUAGUAAUGAUAGAAAAAAGUAGCGUAGGCUCUAUAGAGUGUAUGUUCUCUGAGGGCACGGUCAAUGCUUCGUGUGUCUUUGUUUCUUGUACAAUGCUUUGUGCCUUCUUGUUAACAAAAUUAAGCUCCCAGUUUUUUUCCUGAUUCAAUCGAGGAUGUGAUCAGAAGAUCAUUAAUAGACCAAUCUGUUUAAACAGACAAUGGAUAAUCAGAUAAUAGAGUGUCUUGACUGGUAGUGUAUCAAUGUGAAGAAAUAAGGAGCCACCUUGGUUUUGGACAAAGGGUUGUCUAGCCCAUCUGGACAGUAGUUCUGGACAUCACGAAUGUGGUGGUUUGGGAGGAUUAGUUUGGUGGCAGGCUGCCAAAUGGAAUGAAACAAAAAGAGGGUCACCAGAGAGGAGGGUAUUAGUACCUGAGCUUGGACUCUAGGAAUAAAUGGAGAAGAAAUCUUAAAUCCAAGGACAGAUGGCAAAGAGAGAAUAUAUAGGAAUUGGGAGAUCAUAGAGGAUGUUGAAGAGGCAAGGGUAAAAAAAGUGACUGCUGGAUCUCUUCCUUGGUUAACUUUGGAGAAUUCAAAUUGGGAAAAGGUUGUCUUGAAGGACAAAAGACGUAUGCAGUUACUGGACCUUGAGUUCCAGGAUGUCUGAGACCAUGCAUCUCUUGCUCAUCACCGGAACCCCAGUGUCUGGGGCCAUCCUUGACACACUUAUAUGGUGAGAGGCUGAAAGGGCAUCUCAAAUGAAUUAAUGGCUGCUUACCUUGAUAUCCACACAGUCCAAUGAGACAUGUUGUAGACGAUUAUCUCUCACCUGUUUAAUGGUUCUCCGGUUCUAGUUAGCUGGCAUAAUCAAUUUUGCUAAAAAGGCAUACCUCUCACAUCUUGGGAAGGACAUCCCAAAUAGGCAACUUACUUAAUUCCAGGAAGAGUGACAGAAUCUACAGACCCUGAGGCAAUCUCACUUGUACUUGCCUUCAUGUAACUAGUAAAACAUACCUGGCAGUGCAGCACCUCCACAGAAAGGUGCUCCAGAAAGCAAUUGUUUGCUCUCACCCUGCUGAGAAGUAGCAAUAUCCAUGUGGCUUAAGGGCUGUAGCUGCAGCCAUGAACAGUGUUAGAAAAAUAUCACCACCAUUUGCCAGCAUGAGAUGCCAAACUGCAAAUAAGAGACAUGUCGAUUCAAUGAAGCAGGAACAUUUCACUUGUUUUUAAGAUUACUUGCGAGAAGUUUAUUGCUAUGUGUUUGUCUGCCUUUAAAUAAGAAAUUGCAUUUUUUUAAAAAACCGCCUCCUCUCUUCUCCCCACAAAGGGACAAGGCUUUCCUACUCGGGUGAAUAUUGCCUGUGCUGCUUACCGAAGAAAGGGAGCAGUCUUGGCAAGCAUCUUAUUAGUCUAAAAAUAAAUUAUUCAGAAUGCAGGUUCAGAUACAGAUUGCAGGGAGAGAUAAUAGAAUUGGUUUUCCAAGCCUGAUCAUGCUAUGAAGACGUGGUGUGUGCUUUUCAGGAAUCCACUUAAGUGGAAUCAGCUUUGACUAAUACAAACUAGAAAUAAUAUUGCUGCCAUCCAGCUAGUGUCUGUGGUACAGCAUCCUCAGAAUGUCUUCAAGUAUCCACGGCCUCUUUAGUGUCUGUAAGUGCGCAUAUGUAAAAGUGUAUAUGUAUUCCCAAGCAAGCUUCAGAGGCAUGCUUCUCAUUGUUCUUUUAAGGAAAUGUCUUCCUGGCCGCCUGAGAGGGGCAUGUCUCACUUGAGCUCCAGGGCUGCAUCUCCGUGGGCACGCCAAGCUUCCCCUGGUUACCUGAGCUGCUCCUGCCGUCUCCCGCCUGGGCUUCGCCGUGGUGCACCCGAUCCCGGAAUCGUGCGUCUGCGCCCUGCGAAAGAAGGACCUGCUGGCGGAGCUCCGGCCAGGGUCUCCUCCCUCGCAGCUGGGCAAGGCGACUUGGAGGACAGGGUGAAGCUGCAGAAGACCUGGGGUGGGACGGCUAGAGAGGACGCCAAGGACUGGGGAAGGGGAAGUUAGGAGUACCUUACAUCCAAUGCCCACCCGUGCUCCGCAGGGCAAGGGCAGCCGUCGCCUCGGCCGCGUGCACCCAGCUCAGGCUGUUCCCAGGGAUUUAGUCUGGGGGGUCAACCCAUGGCGAGAUGUGGUGGCAUUUUACCUCAGAGUGGAGCUGAAGAUGGAUAAACAAGGUAUCUGAUGUAUCUGCCUGAGAAGGCAGAGCUGGAGAAAGGCGGAGUGAGGGAGCGCGUGGAAAGAAAGAGAUGCCGAAUGCCGGGUGAUUGUCUGCCGCUUGCUGUGCAUUCUCAUUCUAGGGAGGAUGGCAUAAUUUAUAACCCAGCACAUGGAUGGAGGAACUGUAAAUUGCAGUCUGGAUGUCCCCGACGCUGUCAACGAAGGAACUGAUGGGCUAGGUGACUGUACCAGUGUCCCCAGAGAAAAUCGCAGCCUCGCAGCAUGGAUUUAAAUGCAUGUGCAUGCAUGUAGAGACAUGAAAAAGGUUUCUGACCAUUUUACACAGGAAGUCUGUCACUUUGCUGGAUGGGGCUUGAUUGCAGCUUGUGUUUUCAGCUCCAGCUCAACACCCAUUUCCUGACUAGUGAGACAGCAUGGCCAAAGCAGCUGCAUGCAGAAUUUUCUUUUUACUCGGAAAGCAAGCCCCCUCUGUUUUAACUCCUUCCAGUUCUGAAUGCUCUGUGCUUUGCUAGGACCGAUUGUGGGGUUUUGUUUUCUUCUUCUACAAAUCCCUGUAAACACAGCUGUAUUCAGUAAUGGCAAAAAAUUCUAUCCUGUAAAUAGAAAUCUGAUCAAUUUAAUCAAAAUAAAUGUAUCCCAGAUGACUUUGAGACCAGCUGGCUACCACAGGCUUCAGAUGCUAAAUGCUCAGUGGAGAUGAAUACAGUGUUAUAUUUACAUGUUUCAGAAUGCCGGGAUCAGCCUAUAAUUUGCAAAAAGAAAUUAUUUUCUAAGGAGGAGAGGUGGUCCUACCAGCUCACAGCUAAGAUGGCUAGAUACAGGUGUAAAUGCUCUUCAUGUGAUUUGGAGAUUUGCAGUGUUGCAUUUCAAAAGGCAUGUGCCAUGAGGCAGAGUAUGGCCGUUGUCAGUAUGGAGAAUGCUCGCUUCUAACUUGCUGUUAUGGAGAGCCGAAUGCCCUCCAAGUAGCUUCUAGUGAGGUUGAGGGCAGGCACUUGAGGCUUGUUGUAGAUUCAAAUGUGAGGACUGGGGUUCUCCAACCCCAGCUCAGUGGAGUCAGCUCCACCCUGGGGGUGAGGAGCUUUCCCAGUUGUCAUGGGGAGCUCUUCUGGGACGCCUGUCUGGCCCUUCCACUGUUUGUUACUAUUUCUACAAAGGCAGCUCUGUGUGUUGGAUUAUGUUUGGCCAGCUGUUGGUGCAUUCCUGCGGGUGGGGCUGGGUGAGGAUCUUAUUACUGUACUUUCAAACUGUAGAUCUGUGUGCAGGGAUAGUACAGAAGGAAAGGAAAAGCAGUAAGUUACAGAAUCUGAUCAUUCUUACCUCUUUCUCCAGAUAGUCCUAGAGUGAAUCCAGAAAGGCUUUAAAGUGAAAAGAGGAAAGAGAGAGUAAGUGAUUGGGGGUGGGUGGCAUGAGGAGAAGAGAAUGAAACAGAGCAAGCGCACAAGAGAAAAACAGCCUUAGAACUUCAAAGCUGCAUAGACAAGCAGAAUGUCACCAGCUUGUAAUUAGCGGUUCGUGGUUGCGUCAGUGACUGUAUCUGUCCAAGAAUAACUAUGUGAUGUGUGCCACAAAGUGAAGAAGAUAGUCAUAACUAAGUUAUCAAACCCAGUUCAAACAAGGGCAAAUGGAUUAAGAAAUUUUCUGUUUGUAAAUCAAAUACUGAUGGAUUAUACAAAUAAGACUUACUGAAUUCUGUAUAAUUGAAGGCUGAAUUAUCAAUUUAUCGGGGGGAUAUGUUCAUUUAAUGAAACUGUGAACGCUUAAACAUGCAAAGUAAUCAUGUGAGAAAAUAUCAAUGCAAGCUCUAUCAAUACAAGACGUUUUACUAAAUAGCCAAAAAUGGCACUGCCAGUCUCCUAUCUCUGUAUCCACACAUAAUUUUGUUUGUUUUUGUGCAUUUCAAUAGAGAGAAGUCAAAAGUGACAUUCAAGUGAAUAGGGUAAAUUAAAUUCUAAAAUUCCCACUUUCGAAUUUAAAAAACAACUAAGGAGUUUUGAUUUAUGGUGAUCUCCCAAGUUUAAACCUUGAAGGAGGUUUUGUUGUCUUGAAGCCAAACAGCAGCUUGUCAGUAAACGUUAUGGGAAGUCAGCGUACCAGAAUUGUUGAGGUUUGAAGGCCACAUUCACUUCCCUCCCUUGUCUCUUGUGCUUGGAGAUUUGGGUGCUACCGAAGCCUCCACAAAGAGAUGGUGGGAGGAGCUGAUUGGUCCGUAGGCUUAGAAUGUUUACUCUUAUUUGUUUUCAGUGCUCCUCCACGGCAUUCAUUUUCUAUUUGUAUUUGUGUUCAUGCCGCACAAUUACUCCUGACCCGCUUUGUUUCUCUGCCCAAAGAGAAGUCAAUUUUAGUUCAGCUCUGCGUGUUUAGCUUGCUGGGUAAUAUGUGCAUAUGUAUUGCAUUACCCAUGUAUGCAUUUUUUCUUUUUUUAAAAUGUGGAUUAGGGAAAAUUGUAGCAUGGAAAGCUGCAUAUAUUAAAUCAAUAGCUUUUUGAAUCACAUGUAAUAUAAUUUAAAUAUACUCAGUUUGAGGUUGCCAAAACUGACAUUGUCUGAGCCCGUUUAAUUUACAUCUUCGAUUUAGUCAAGAAGCGGAACCUGCCAGAUCAGAAUAGUAUUCUGUGCACCCAACAGGGUGGAAGACAUUAUUUUGUUUGUGUUAGUUCAAACAGCUGGUCAUUAAUGCAGUCCCCAUUUCUAGAGCGAAGUGCUGCUGGACAUGAAUGCCUGCCUGAUUAAUGCUGCCCCUCCGAGGGUCCUUCACCCAGCAGUCAUGCUCGCAGCAGAAUAAUGUAGCAUGAUGUGAUUGCACUCUAACAGGAUAGUAUGUCAUUGUGUCACCAAGCAAUUGAGGUUAUUAUGGGGCAGGGCAGACAGACGGGACAGUGGGGUUACUAGACCGUAGCAUUUUUAGAAAUACAGGCCUGACCUACUUAGAGUUAUUCUCUCUGGCUGGCAGCUGCAUGGUACAUAAAGUCUCCUGAUAGGCUGAGGCUGUUGCUAGGGGGAAUUAGCAUGAAUUUUUCCACACACAGACUCAGUGGCUGAAUGAUAAAAGCUGACUGGAAUUAAAGAGAUUUGGUUUAGUAUUAUACAGAUUUAUCUGCCUCCUUUUCUUUCUCAAGUGCAGAGAAAGAGUGCAAAACACAGAUUUUGUUUCCAUUUGUUCUUUGACCUUCUUGUUCCUCCUCCUCCCCUCAAGAUGCAUGAGGGGAGGAGAGUGGGGCAGUUAUGAAAUUUUGGUUAAUCUCUCACUGUUGGGGGUCAUUGAAAUGAUGUUGCAAAUUGCAAGAUAUUUAAGCUUAAAAACUGUUGGGAAUGACUAACAGAAGGUUAGAUUAUUUUUCCUCUUCUGCGCACUAAGCUGUUUUGAAGUUGGGCAUGCAUCUUUCAUGCACUGUAUAUUUAAACUCUCUUUCCCUUUUGGGCUUGAACAAAACAUUUAUAUAAAUUCUUUUCUAUCCAAACAGAUUGAAGCUUGCAAUCUCUGGCUUGUUUAAAAUAAGGUGGUCAGGAUUCCAGAUUUAGACAGGAAAAAAAUAUAUAUAUAUACCAUUUUUGUUAUUACAAAAUAUUAUUUUCUGGGCUAUUGUGGGUUUGACUCUCUUUUCAAAAACCAGCCUGAUGUAGAUGCUUAUGGAUGAAACUUAACUGCUCCUACCCUACCCUGUUGGCUUCACAAUGUAUAGGAAAACAUAGGUUUUUCUCCAGAAGAAAAUCUGCCUGCAGAAUAUAUCUGGAGGUUGUUUUCCUUGUUGCUGACAUAUGCACUGCAUAUAGACAACUCACAUAAUCAAUUUUAUAAGAUGACCCAUUUUUUUCCUUCUCGUGGAUCUCCAAGUGUCUGUGGCUUUUAGCAGAUCUUUUCUAGAGGAGGAGUUUUGAUAGAUCUUUUUAAGGUAAUCUGAAAAGCCAUCAGGAGAAAAAUUAAAGCAACACAUAUUCAAGAAUACUUUAAUUUUUCUUGUUCUUAAUUAUAUGCUCUCUAUAUUUAAACUGCAAUUUCUUUCUGUUACCUUUUAUUGCUGAAAGUAGUGAUUAUCUUUGCCUUUUAGAUUUGAAAUAAAUUUUUGUGAGAACACCCUGGGAUAUCACAAGUAAACAAGAAGCUGGGCUACAUAAAGGAAACGAAUAACAGAGAUUCUUGUAAACUUGUCACAUCAGAUUUUUUUUUUUUUUUUUUUGGCCACAUGAAAAAGGCAAGAGAAAAUUUAGGUGUAGCUUUUUCUUUUCAUUUAGAUUUUUAAAAAUAUUUAGAACUAUUUAGAUACAUAAUGCUUUUAAACAGUGAUUUCUACUUAUACCAGAGAAUACAGUCAAAACAAAAUAAAACAAAUCCUCUCAUGGUGUCAGAGCCAAGAAAUCUAUCAAUCAUGUGUAUAUUUUUUAAAUCCAGGAGUGUUUACAUUCAGCAUAUAAAUCUUAUCAAGCUAAAAUAGAGUAUAUUUUCUGAUGUAAUUGAUAGAUCAUACCCUCACUAGCUUUGAGAGUCCCCAUAUAAACAUUUAUUGUAAAGGUUUGCAACUACACUAGCAAUCUUUCUUAAUUGAAUAAAAUGUCAAUUUAUAUUUGUGGAAUAAAAGAUUACCUUGGUGUACUGCUCCUUCCAAAAUGAAGCAAUUUCUUUGUUGUUUUAACAAGUGAACAUUUUUUUGGUUUUCUUUUGCAGUAUUUAUUUUGCUUAGGUCAAUGGACAAUUAUUUAAAUAUUUAAAUGCAAAUACAUGGAAAUAAAAUGUCACUUUAAAAUCACUUAAGAAAGGAAAAGUGUCAACAUACUUUUAUUAACACUCUUUAAUAAACGUGGCUAAUUUAUAUGUAAAGCACAGCCUGUUUCCAGGUACCCAGUCGAAUCAAAUGUUUAUUGUUUGGUGAAAAAUAAAUUGAUCACAUUAUAAUAGUUAAA